GACUUUACUGUCAGAGGAAAAUUGGAAGUGAACAAGAUUUUUGCAGAGAUUUUCCUUGAUCAAGAGUGCAACCAGCCACAUUAGCUGCUGUGGAUAUGGACUUUACAGUCAGAG